rnacentral:ncRNA from 10 species
UAAUAACAUCAGGAGCAGUUUCUUUAUUGAAACUCGCCAACCGAGUCAGUAAGACAGCGGUGGUUUGAUCCAUAAAUGGUAGAUGUGCCCAAAAGGGAAACAUAUAAAGCCAC